AUAGACCCGAAACCAGGCGAUCUAUCCAUGAGCAGGUUGAAGGUUGGGUAACACUAACUGGAGGACCGAACCCACUGUCGUUGAAAAGCCAGGGGAUGACUUGUGGAUAGGGGUGAAAGGCUAAUCAAACUCGGUGAUAGCUGGUUCUCCCCGAAAGCUAUUUAGGUAGCGCCUCGGACGAAUACCAUUGGGGGUAGAGCACUGUUUCGGCUAGGGGGUCAUCCCGACUUACCAAACCGAUGCAAACUCCGAAUACCAAUGAGUACUAUCCGGGAGACAGACUGCGGGUGCUAACGUCCGUAGUCAAGAGGAAAACAAUCCAGACCGCCAGCUAAGGCCCCAAAAUUAUAGUUAAGUGGGAAACGAUGUGGGAAGGCAUAGACAGCUAGG
rnacentral:rRNA from 1 species